rnacentral:rRNA from 1 species
GUGAACGCUGGCGGUAGGCCUAACCCAUGCCGGUCGAACGGCAGCACCGUAAGAGCUUGCUCUUACGGGUGGCGAGUGGCGGACGGGUGAGGAAUACAUCGGAAUCUACUUUUUCGUGGGGGAUAACGUAGGGAAACUUACGCUAAUACCGCAUACGACCUACGGGUGAAAGCAGGGGAUCUUCGGACCUUGCGCGAUUGAAUGAGCCGAUGUCGGAUUAGCUAGUUGGCGGGGUAAAGGCCCACCAAGGCGACGAUCCGUAGCUGGUCUGAGAGGAUGAUCAGCCACACUGGAACUGAGACACGGUCCAGACUCCUACGGGAGGCAGCAGUGGGGAAUAUUGGACAAUGGGCGCAAGCCUGAUCCAGCCAUACCGCGUGGGUGAAGAAGGCCUUCGGGUUGUAAAGCCCUUUUGUUGGGAAAGAAAAGCAGCAGGUUAAUACCCCGCUGUUCUGACGGUACCCAAAGAAUAAGCACCGGCUAACUUCGUG